UUGAAAGGGAAACGAUUGAAGUCAGUCGUACCGACGAGAAAUCAGCUUUUCGAAUGUGCAUUUGUGGGCGUAUGAGAUCUUCAUUGUUUGCAAUAUGUUAUUUCUUUGGUGUACUUUUUCGUAUGGUAGGUCAACGUCGGUUUUGAUCGCCAUAAAAUGAUCGGAGGAAUGUAGCUUCGACCUCGGUUGAAGUGUUAUAGCCUUUGGUAAAUGUGGUGAUUAGGACCGAGGAUUGCAACGAAUACCUUUUAGGCUAUCCGUCUGACCUCUGAAAGUUACUUGGGUGUCGAAAGCUUGCUUACGGUCAUUUAAGUUAACGGUCAAAAGGUUGGAACGUGAUCACAUUCGUUAAGGAUGUUGACGUA
rnacentral:rRNA from 1 species